rnacentral:rRNA from 1 species
UAGGGAAUCUUCGGCAAUGGGGGCAACCCUGACCGAGCAACGCCGCGUGAGUGAAGAAGGUUUUCGGAUCGUAAAGCUCUGUUGUAAGUCAAGAACGAGUGUGAGAGUGGAAAGUUCACACUGUGACGGUNGCUUACCAAAAAGGGACGGCUAACUACGUGCCAGCAGCCGCGGUAAUACGUAGGUCCCGAGCGUUGUCCGGAUUUAUUGGGCGUAAAGCGAGCGCAGGCGGUUUGAUAAGUCUGAAGUUAAAGGCUGUGGCUCAACCAUAAUUCGCUUUGGAAACUGUCAAACUUGAGUGCAGAAGGGGAGAGUGGAAUUCCAUGUGUAGCGGUGAAAUGCGUAGAUAUAUGGAGGAACACCGGUGGCGAAAGCGGCUCUCUGGUCUGUAACUGACGCUGAGGCUCGAAAGCGUGGGGAGCGAACAGGAUUAGAUACCCUGGUAGUCCACGCCGUAACGAUGAGUGCUAGGUGUUGGAUCCUUUCCGGGAUUCAGUGCCGCAGCUAACGCAUUAAGCACUCCGCCUGGGGAGUACGACCGCAAGGUU